AAAGGUAAGCUACUAAGAGCGAAUGGUGGAUGCCUUGACUGGUAAAGGCGAUGAAGGACGUACUAGACUGCGAUAAGCUACGGGGAGCUGUCAAGAAGCUUUGAUCCGUAGAUUUCCGAAUGGGGCAACCCAAUGUAUAGAGAUAUACAUUACCUAUAUAGGAGCGAACGAGGGGAAUUGAAACAUCUUAGUACCCUCAGGAAAAGAAAUCAAUAGAGAUUGCGUCAGUAGCGGCGAGCGAAAGCGCAAGAGGGCAAACCCAGUGCUUGCACUGGGGGUUGUAGGACUGCAAUGUGCAAGAGGUAAGUUUAGCAGAACAUUCUGGAAAGUAUAACCAUAGAGGGUGAUAGUCCCGUAUGCGAAAAACAAACCUUAGCUAGCAGUAUCCUGAGUAGGGCGGGACACGAGGAAUCCUGUCUGAAUCCGGGUCGACCACGAUCCAACCCUAAAUACUAAUACCAGAUCGAUAGUGCACAAGUACCGUGAGGGAAAGGUGAAAAGAACUGAGGUGAUCAGAGUGAAAUAGAACCUGAAACCAUUUGCUUACAAUCAUUCAGAGCCCUAUGUAGCAAUACAGGGUGAUGGACUGCCUUUUGCAUAAUGAGCCUGCGAGUUGUGGUGUCUGGCAAGGUUAAGCAAACGCGAAGCCGUAGCGAAAGCGAGUCUGAAUAGGGCGCUUAGUCAGAUGCUGCAGACCCGAAACGAAGUGAUCUAUCCAUGAGCAAGUUGAAGCUAGUGUAAGAACUAGUGGAGGACUGAACCCAUAGGCGUUGAAAAGCCCCGGGAUGACUUGUGGAUAGGGGUGAAAGGCCAAUCAAACUUCGUGAUAGCUGGUUCUCUCCGAAAUAUAUUUAGGUAUA
rnacentral:rRNA from 1 species